CCUACGGGAGGCAGCAGUGAGGAAUAUUGGUCAAUGGGCGCGAGCCUGAACCAGCCACGCAGCGUGAAGGAUGACUGCCCUACGGGUUGUAAACUUCUUUUUUAAGGGAAUAAAGUGAGGCACGUGUGCCUUUUUGUAUGUACUUUACGAAUAAGGAUCGGCUAACUCCGUGCCAGCAGCCGCGGUAAUACGGAGGAUCCGAGCGUUAUCCGGAUUUAUUGGGUUUAAAGGGAGCGUAGACGGGUUGGUAAGUAAGUUGUGAAAGUUUGGGGCUCAACCGUAAAAUUGCAAUUGAUACUGGCAGACUUGAGUACAGUUGAGGUAGGCGGAAUUCGUGGUGUAGCGGUGAAAUGCUUAGAUAUCACGAAGAACACCGAUUGCGAAGGCAGCUUACUAAACUGCUACUGACGUUGAGGCACGAAAGCGUGGGUAGCAAACAGGAUUAGAUACCCGAGUAGUC
rnacentral:rRNA from 1 species